AGUGAACGCUGGCGGUAGGCCUAACACAUGCAAGUCGAACGGCAGCACAGUAAGAGCUUGCUCUUACGGGUGGCGAGUGGCGGACGGGUGAGGAAGACAUCGGAAUCUACUUUUUCGUGGGGGAUAACGUAGGGAAACUUACGCUAAUACCGCAUACGACCUACGGGUGAAAGCAGGGGAUCUUCGGACCUUGCGCGAGUGAAUGAGCCGAUGUCGGAUUAGCUAGUUGGCGGGGUAAAGGCCCACCAAGGCGACGAUCCGUAGCUGGUCUGAGAGCAUGAAUAGGCACCUUGGAUGAGAGAAAGAUCAGCGACUCCUGCACUGAGACACAGCGCAAACUCUUGGGCGAUGCAGGAGAGCCUAAUCCUGCCAAAUCGGGUAAAGCCAGACGCAGUCAUGCUGCGUGAAUGAUUUUGUUGGGAGGAUAGUACAACUCUUUAAUCCGCCACUAUUAUGACGGUACCCAAAGAAUAAGCACCGGCUAACUUCGUG
rnacentral:rRNA from 1 species